rnacentral:lncRNA from 1 species
CUGUCAAGGGUCAUGUCCUCGGACACCCGCAUUCUAGCCAUGUCAUGCCUAAUCACCUCUCCCCAAUACCUCUUAGGGCUCCCUCUGCCUCGCCGAACGCCGACAAUCGCCAUCCGCUCACAACUCCUCACCGGGGCAUCAGGACUUCUCCUCCGCACAUGCCCGAACCACCGUUUGAUCAUUAGUCACAAAAAUAACAAUAAAUUUCAUAAU